AUUCAUUUAUAAUUAAAAAAUAUUUUUACAUGGACAAGGAAAACAUCAAGUGCAACCUUUGGUGCAUGUGUAGUGGAAGUUUGAUUAUUGCAAAUCUGAAUAUGGCUCUUCGAGGAGUUAUUGGAUCUACAACGAACAUCUUUUGUCCAACUCAUGUAAUUUUCAUAUGUUUUUAUGUCUGAUCCAAUAAAACAUUUAAUUAGUAAAUAAAUAUAUGUUUACAUCUCAUUCAUGCAUUAUUUCUACAAAAACAUGUCAAGUAAAUUAAAUCUAAAAAUAUGAGGGGAGAGAGAUAUAUUAAAAUAAUGUAAUUUUAAAAAGCGGUAACCAAUUUCGUGUGUAUGUCAAAAUAAUAUUGAAAUUCUAAAAUGGAUUCUAACAACUAUUAAGAGACAUUAAUCAUAAAUUCUAAUUAAAAAAUGUUUUUUUUUACACUAUAAAAUAAUAAUAAAAUGCAUAUUUUAAAAUACAAAUUAAAAAACAUAUGGCACAACAAAUUCUUAAGUUUGUUAGUGUCAUAAUUAUUUUUCUUUUCAUAUUCUUCAUUGUAACAGAUGGAGUUAUCAUAUGUCAAUCUAAUCGACAAUGUAGUAAAGCAAUGACUAACUGCUUUCGUCCUAAUCAUCCAAAGUGUGUAUCAGGGAUAUGUCAAUGUUGCUAAUUGUAGGAAUAAAGUUAAAAAAAAAAAAUAAUUCCAAAUAUUUGCAUGUAUAAUGUAUAAUGUUUGUACUUUUAUAAUUUUCUCAUACUUCACUUAUGUUCUUCGAAUUUUCAAAUUAAUUUGAUCCACUCAAAUGCUUAUUAUUUUAUUA